rnacentral:tRNA from 1 species
GCCCGGGUGGUGAAAUUGGUAGACACAAGGGAUUUAAAAUCCCUCGAGGAUUUCCUCGUGCCGGUUCAAGUCCGGCCCUGGGCACCA